GGCAGUUCUCGGGUGACACACCCGGGAAUUGGGCUUCUUCCUCUCUGGUUACAGGUGCAUCACCCGAGAACCACA
rfam:Myotis brandtii contig308849, whole genome shotgun sequence.